rnacentral:misc_RNA from 1 species
GGGAGAUUGUCUGUACCUCUUCUCGACUUCCUCCGUAAAGUGAGAUAUAAUGUCAACAGUAAGAGGAUUACCACAAUAAAAAUUCCAACAAAAAUUCCGAUCAAUUGCCAGACCUUGAGACCGAAAACAGCAGUUUUUUGGGAUAAUUCAUCGUUUAGACUACCAGCCAUAUUCUAGGAUGUCAACAGACCAAUCUUGGAAGAAGAUAAUCCACAGAGGUGAUGUAUUGUAAUAGUGUGUACUAAAAGUAGAGUAACUUUGUACAGUCUUUCUUUCUUUUACUUACCUUUAC